AGUGAACGCUGGCGGUAGGCCUAACACAUGCAAGUCGAACGGCAGCACAGUAAGAGCUUGCUCUUACGGGUGGCGAGUGGCGGACGGGUGAGGAAUACAUCGGAAUCUACUUUUUCGUGGGGGCUAACGUAGGGAAACUUACGCUAAUACCGCAUACGACCUACGGGUGAAAGCCGGGGAUCUUCGGACCUUUCGCGAUUGUAUGAGCCGAUGUCGGCUUAGCUAGUUGGCGGGGUAAAGGCCCACCAAGGCGACGAUCGGUAGCGGGCCUGAGAGGAUGAUCAGCCACACUGGAACUGAGACACGGUCCAGACUCCGACGGGAGGCAGCAGUGGGGAAUAUUGGACAAUGGGCGCAAGCCUGAUCCAGCCAUACCGCGUGGGUGAAGAAGGCCUUCGGGUUGUAAAGCCCUUUUGUUGGGAAAGAAAAGCAGCAGGUUAAUACCCCGCUGUUCUGACGGUACCCAAAGAAUAAGCACCGGCUAACUUCGUG
rnacentral:rRNA from 1 species